GACGAACCGUGCGAACGUUGUUCGGAAUCACUGGGCUUAAAGGGCGCGUAGGCGGGUCCGCAAGUCCGGGGUGAAAGCCCCCAGCUCAACUGGGGAAGUGCCUCGGAUACUGCGGGUCUAGAGCGAGGUAGGGGCAUGUGGAACUUCGGGUGGAGCGGUGAAAUGCGUUGAUAUCCGAAGGAACGCCGGUGGCGAAAGCGACAUGCUGGACCUCUUCUGACGCUGAGGCGCGAAAGCCAGGGGAGCAAACGGG
rnacentral:rRNA from 1 species